CCUACGGGGGGCAGCAGUGAGGAAUAUUGGUCAAUGGACGAGAGUCUGAACCAGCCAAGUAGCGUGAAGGAUGACUGCCCUAUGGGUUGUAAACUUCUUUUAUAUGGGAAUAAAAUGUUGCACGUGUGGGAUUUUGUAUGUACCAUAUGAAUAAGGAUCGGCUAACUCCGUGCCAGCAGCCGCGGUAAUACGGAGGAUCCGAGCGUUAUCCGGAUUUAUUGGGUUUAAAGGGAGCGUAGGUGGAUUGUUAAGUCAGUUGUGAAAGUUUGCGGCUCAACCGUAAAAUUGCAGUUGAAACUGGCAGUCUUGAGUACAGUAGAGGUGGGCGGAAUUCGUGGUGUAGCGGUGAAAUGCUUAGAUAUCACGAAGAACUCCGAUUGCGAAGGCAGUUCACUGGACUGCAACUGACACUGAGGCUCGAAAGUGUGGGUAUCAAACAGGAUUAGAUACCCCAGUAGUC
rnacentral:rRNA from 1 species